AAAGUCGUAACAAGGUCUCCGUUGGUGAACCAGCGGAGGGAUCAUUACCGAGUUUACACUCAUAACCCUUUGUGAACAUUAUAACUUGUUGCUUCGGCGGCUCCUGUCCCUCGGGGCGGAGGCCCGCCGGCGUUUCAGUAUCUCUGUUUGUACCCGACGAUACAUCUGAGUGUUCUUAGCGAACUAUAAAAACUUUUAACAACGGAUCUCUUGGUUCUA
rnacentral:misc_RNA from 1 species